CUCAAAUGAAUUGACGGGGGCCCGCACAAGCGGUGGAGCAUGUGGUUUAAUUCGAUGCAACGCGAAGAACCUUACCUGGUCUUGACAUCCACAGAACUUAGCAGAGAUGCUUUGGUGCCUUCGGGAACUGUGAGACAGGUGCUGCAUGGCUGUCGUCAGCUCGUGUUGUGAAAUGUUGGGUUAAGUCCCGCAACGAGCGCAACC
rnacentral:rRNA from 1 species